UCCCUGGUGGACUAAUGGAUAAGGAUCCCACACUCUCACUGCUGUGGCCCAGGUUCAAUCCUCAGGCAGGGAA